GGGCCAUGCAUCAAAAGCUUGAUCCCUAGCCUGUGGUAUUACUAGGAUGUGUUGGAACCUUUGAAAGGUGGGGUUUAGUGGAGGGAAGUUAGGUCUAUCAGGGGUAUAGCCUUGAAGGGCAUGUUGAGAUGCCAGCCUCUUCAUAUCUCUUUUUCUCAUUUCCUGGUUACCAUAAGUGCAAAAAAGAGUUGGCAAGGAUGUGGAGAGAUCUGAACCCUGGUAUACCACCUGUGGAAAUAUAAAAAGGCGUGUGGACUUUGGAAAACUCACUCAUGGCUCUUCGAAAGAUUAACCAAUCUGAACAUACAACCCAGCAUUUCCAAUGUUAAGUAUGUGCUCAAGAAAAUAGAAAACAUGCAUCUACACAAAAAGCUGUAGAGCACUGUUCAUAGCAACAGUAUUCAUAAUAGCCAAAAGGUGAAAGUAACCUAAAUGGCUAGGAAUAAGCAAAAUGUGGAAUGUUCACAAAACGGAAUACUACUCAGCCAUAGCCAUAAAGGGGAUGAAAUUCUGAUACAAAGUACAACAUGGAUAAAUAUUGAAGACAAUAUGCAAAGUGAAACAAACCAGACACAAAGGCCUAGAUGUUGAGGUGAGGGGUAUAACUUGGUAAUGGAGUUUGUACCAAGAACAUCUGAGGCCCUGGGCCCAAUCCUCAGCUUAAAAAAUCAAACCCAAUAAAUAACACCAAAUCCUG